UACGGAGGGUGCUAGCGUUGUUCGGAAAUACUGGGCGUAAAGCGCACGUAGGCGGCGCAGCAAGUCAGGGGUGAAAUCCCGGGGCUCAACCCCGGAACUGCCCUUGAAACUGCAGUGCUAGAAUUCUGGAGAGGCGAGUGGAAUUCCGAGUGUAGAGGUGAAAUUCGUAGAUAUUCGGAAGAACACCAGUGGCGAAGGCGACUCGCUGGACAGACAUUGACGCUGAGGUGCGAAAGCGUGGGGAGCAAACAGG
rnacentral:rRNA from 1 species